GAGGGUCAAGUGAGGAAUAAUAAUGCAUAGUUCAGAUGAUAUAAUCUCCAUGAUUACAUAACUGUAGCAAUAGUCUUUCGCUCCUAUCUGAUGACCCUC
rfam:Brassica napus, WGS project CCCW01000000 data, contig: 18543